UACAAGGCAGAGAGCAUCAAAAUCUAAUUAUAUCACAUAAUCCUAUUCUCUGUUGUCCAUCUGUACACCUAGCUUGUUCCAAACUGCCAUCAACCAUGGCUGCAUUCACAGUCAGAGCUUAAAUGCAUUAUGUUGUACAGUUUUAGUGUGUAAAUGUGCAUCUAUAUUGCUUUGAGCAAAGAUAAAGUCAAUGUAAGAAGAUUAACAUGAAGGUGGCUGAGCAUAAUGAUUAAAAUAUUAUUCAGAGUUGUCCAGCAGAGUGGUGAACAGAGAGGGGGAAGAAUCAGUUAUUAACCUAACACAUUACCGGUCACUAGGUGGGUGACCAUCUGCCCCAACUGUGUGUUUGAAAGAGUAGGGGGCCAAGAAGAUUCAAAAACCACGCAAUGUGACGUGAAGAACCCGAAUGCACCUGCGUACGGCAAGUCAACGACAAGGUGGAGAAGAUGUCGAUGCAGCAAAAAAGGUGGCUAUGGAGAGGAGCUGGGUCUUCAGGCAGCUCUGUAGGUCAUUCCACCUCCUUCAGCUUAGAACAACUCAUACAAAAUGCCUGGAUUAUCUUGGCAGUCAUGGAGAGGAGGUUGGCAGCCAGCGUGAACAUUCUCCCCAGGACUUCUACCAUGUAAAUAAUAUUUGAACCCUGGUCUUGACACAACUUUUCCCCACAACCACAAAGACGAGCUUAUUUUUAAUGUUUCUCACACACUGAGCGGCUGACAUGUUUAUACACAUACAUACUCUCUCUCUCUCUCUUACUCUCUCUCUCUCUC